rnacentral:rRNA from 1 species
GGACGAACGCUGGCGGCGUGCCUAAUACAUGCAAGUUGAGCGAUGAAGAUUGGUGCUUGCACCAAUUUGAAGAGCAGCGAACGGGUGAGUAACGCGUGGGGAAUCUGCCUUUGAGCGGGGGACAACAUUUGGAAACGAAUGCUAAUACCGCAUAACAACUUUAAACAUAAGUUUUAAGUUUGAAAGAUGCAAUUGCAUCACUCAAAGAUGAUCCCGCGUUGUAUUAGCUAGUUGGUGAGGUAAAGGCUCACCAAGGCGAUGAUACAUAGCCGACCUGAGAGGGGGAUCGGCCCAAUUGGGACUGGAACACGGCCAAAACCCCUACGGGGGGCAGCAGGGGGGAAUUUUCGGCAAGGGGCGAAAGUCUGCCCGAGAAACGCCGGGGGGGGGAAGAAGGUUUUGGGAACGUAAAACCUUGUUGGGAGAAAAGAACGUGGGGGGGGGGGGAAAGCCCAACAAGGGCGGGGAACAACCAAAAAAGGACCGGCUAACUACGG